AUGCGUAGGUGGCAAGCGUUGUCCGGAUUUAUUGGGCGUAAAGCGAGCGCAGGCGGUUUCUUAAGUCUGAUGUGAAAGCCCCCGGCUCAACCGGGGAGGGUCAUUGGAAACUGGGAGACUUGAGUGCAGAAGAGGAGAGUGGAAUUCCAUGUGUAGCGGUGAAAUGCGUAGAUAUAUGGAGGAACACCAGUGGCGAAGGCGACUCUCUGGUCUGUAACUGACGCUGAGGCUCGAAAGCGUGGGGAGCAAACAGGAUUAGAUACCCUGGUAGUCCACGCCGUAAACGAUGAGUGCUAAGUGUUGGAGGGUUUCCGCCCUUCAGUGCUGCAGCUAACGCAUUAAGCGCUCCGCCUGGGGAGUACGACCGCAAGGUUGAAACUUAAAGGAAUUGACGGGG
rnacentral:rRNA from 1 species